rnacentral:rRNA from 1 species
AUUGAACGCUGGCGGCAGGCCUAACACAUGCAAGUCGAGCGAGCGGCGGACGGGUGAGUAAUGUAUGGGGAUCUGCCCGAUAGAGGGGGAUAACUACUGGAAACGGUGGCUAAUACCGCAUACUAUCGGAUGAACCCAGAUGGGAUUAGCUAGUAGGUGGGGUAAAGGGUCACCUAGGCGACGAUCUCUAGCUGGUCUGAGAGGAUGAUCAGCGGCACUGGAACGGGGACACGGCCCAGGCGCCUACGGGAGGCAGCAGUGGGGAAUAUUGCACAAUAGGCGCAAGCCUGAUGCAGCCAUGCCGCGUGUAUGAAAGAGGCCUUAGGGUUGUAAAGUACUUUCAGCGGGGAGGCGUUACCCGCAGAAGAAGCACCGGCUAACUCCGUGCCAGCAGCCGCGGUAAUUC